rnacentral:lncRNA from 1 species
CCUCAAAGAUCUCGUCUCGUGAGACCUCUAUGCGACAGUGUCCAGCCUGUGGUUGCUGCAGCGACAGCUCGUGUCUGAGCAGCUUCAGUUUGUGGACCAGGUCUCUCUCGUAGCGCAGAGUCACUUCCUCUUCUCCUCCUCCUCCUCCUCCUCCUUCCUCCUCCUCCCCCACCUCCAUCUCUCUCCCUCCUCCCCCACCCAGCGGCUGAGACGCUUCCUUCACCUGGGAAUGUUGGCUGGAGACACACAGAAAGGUCUGAUGUGUUUUAUUUUACAUAUCUUUCAUACUGAAUGUUAUCAGAUAUUCAACCAAAACCUGAUAUUAGAUAAAGGGGGAAACCUGAGUAAUAUAAUUAUUUUAUUUAUUUAAUUAACUUUCUGCAAUUUUAUUUAUUUAAUUAAGUUAUGUAACACCAAAUUCCCAUUUUUAAAAAAGUAUUUCCCCGUUACACUCAAUAACUGGAUGAGUUAAAAUAAUGUUCUAUGGACAGGUGAGAUAAAAGAAUGUUCUAUGGACAGGUGAGUUAAAGGUAUGUACUAUAGACAGGUGAGUUAAAAUAAUGUUCUAUAGACAGGUGAGUUAAAAUAAUGUUCUAUAGACAGGUGAGAUAAAAGAAUGUUCUAUGGACAGGUGAGUUAAAGGUAUGUACUAUAGACAGGUGAGUUAAAAUAAUGUUCUAUAGACAGGUGAGUUAAAGGUAUGUUCUAUAGACAGGUGAGAUAAAGGUAUGUUCUAUAGACAGGUGAGUUAAAGGUAUGUUCUAUAGACAGGUGAGUUAAAGGUAUGUUCUAUAGACAGGUGAGAUAAAGGUAUGUUCUAUAGACAGGUGAGAUAAAGGUAUGUUCUAUGGACAGGUGAGAUAAAAUAAUGUUCUAUAGACAGGUGAGUUAAAGGUAUGUACUAUAGACAGGUGAGUUAAAGGUAUGUUCUAUAGACAGGUGAGAUAAAGGUAUGUUCUAUAGACAGGUGAGAUAAAGGUAUGUUCUAUAGACAGGUGAGAUAAAGGAAUGUUCUAUAGACAGGUGAGUUAAAAUAAUGUUCUAUAGACAGGUGAGUUAAAAUAAUGUUCUAUGGACAGGUGAGAUAAAGGAAUGUUCUAUGGACAGGUUAGAUAAAACAAUGUUCUAUGGACAGGUGAGAUAAAGGAAUGUUCUAUGGACAGGUAAGAUAAAACAAUGUUCUAUGGACAGGUAGGAUAAAGGUAUGUUCUAUGGACAGGUGAGUUAAAAUAAUGUUCUAUGGACAGGGGGGAUAAAGGAAUGUUCUAUAGACAGGUGAGAUAAAAGAAUGUUCUAUGGACAGGUGAGUUAAAAGAAUGUUCUAUGGACAGGUGAGUUAAAAGAAUGUUCUACGGACAGGUGAGUUUAAAGAAUGUUCUACGGACAGGAGAGUUAAAGGUAUGUUCUAUAGACAGGUGAGAUAAAGGUAUGUUCUAUAGACAGGUGAGAUAAAGGUAUGUUCUAUAGACAGGUGAGAUAAAGGUAUGUACUAUGGACAGGUGAGUUAAAGGAAUGUUCUAUGGACAGGUGAGUUAAAGGUAUGUUCUAUAGACAGGUGAGAUAAAGGUAUGUUCUAUAGACAGGUGAGAUAAAGGUAUGUUCUAUAGACAGGUGAGAUAAAGGAAUGUUCUAUGGACAGGUGAGAUAAAGGUAUGUUCUAUAGACAGGUGAGAUAAAGGUAUGUUCUAUAGACAGGUGAGAUAAAGGAAUGUUCUAUGGACAGGUGAGAUAAAGGUAUGUUCUAUGGACAGGUGAGAUAAAAGAAUGUUCUAUGGACAGGUGAGUUAAAAUAAUGUUCUAUAGACAGGUGAGAUAAAGGAAUGUUCUAUAGACAGGUGAGUUAAAGGAAUGUUCUAUAGACAGGUGAGAUAAAGGUAUGUUCUAUAGACAGGUGAGUUAAAGGUAUGUUCUAUAGACAGGUGAGAUAAAGGUAUGUUCUAUAGACAGGUGAGAU